UACGUAGGGUCCGAGCGUUGUUCGGAUUUACUGGGCGUAAAGCGCACGUAGGCGGGUCGUUAAGUCGAGGGUGAAAUCCUGGAGCUCAACUCCAGAACUGCCUUCGAUACUGGCGACCUAGAGUCCGGAAGAGGUGAGUGGAACUCCUAGUGUAGAGGUGGAAUUCGUAGAUAUUAGGAAGAACACCAGUGGCGAAGGCGGCUCACUGGUGCCCGGGUACUGACGCUGAGGUGCGAAAGCGUGGGGAGCAAACAGG
rnacentral:rRNA from 1 species